UCUCCCCCGAUACCGCAUCUGCCUUCCCUCCCUCGCCCGCGCCGUCGCCGGCCGUGACCUCCAAUCGUGUCGCCGCCAGGCCCGAUGCCCAACCGUGAUGUGGCAGAGGCCCGACCUCCCAUCGCGCCUCCAUGCCCGACCUCCCUAUGCCGCCGCUCCCCGCUUCCCGUAACUCUUUGCGCCGCCGCCCCCCGCUACCCCAAGCUCUCUGUGCUGCCGCCCUGGCCCUACCUCUGGCACCAACCUCCAGUGCUGUCGCCGCCCCAACCUCUGGCGCCGCUGCCGCCCCAACAUCCGAUGCCAUCUCUUCCCCGCCCCAACCUCCGGCGUCCCCUCGCCCAUGGCAGCGGCUGCGUCCAUGGCGACGCUCUCCGGCUUCGCGCGCCACCGUCACCCUUUGCGAGGUCUGCUCCGGCCGCGUUCUGCACAACGUCAUCCAGAGGUAACCGGCCGGCUGAAACCCUACCCCUUCCUGCAUUUGAUACCAAUUUCUCCAUGGAAGUUCAAUAUUCUGCAGGGCUGAGGAUGUUGGGUAUGUCUCACCCACAGAGGUGUAGGAGCAGUCCCUCCAUGAUGCAGCCUCCUCUCGGUGGGGCUCCGCCACAGCAUCGCCCAAAAUUGUUCAAUGCCGCCUCCUUGGGCCGUUCAAGGACACACCCCCAGGUCGUUCAACGGUAUUUUUUAUGCUUCUCAAACUUCUCCCAGCCUCCAAGCGGCCUCUGCAUAGCUCAUCAUAGCCCCUGCAUUUCCAUGCUCCGAUGCCAACUUGUGCUGCCUGCAUUUUCGCCCUACAAAAAAAAGAAGUGCUCAAAUUUAGCAAUUACUUGCAGCAGUUCAAUUUAUGCUGGGGAAGAAGAAAAAACGACAAUAGGUUGCAGAUGUUGUGUUUUGUGAUUGUUGCGGGCUUGCAGCAAUUUAGAGGUGGGUUCAAAGAAAAAAAUUGUACCCAGAUUACAUGAAUCAUGCAAUAUACAUUGAAUAAAACUAGGUUGGCAAAAAUGCUUUGUCUUGUUUGAUGAUAAAAAAUUGUUUCAGAAAAAUGCGUGAACUUCCCUCCAGUCCGGUGUGACCUUCCAUCUACUCCGUCGCGACCUUCCCUCCCCGGUGCCGAGAUGCUCCUCCUCCACAGCCCCAUCCCCAGCUUGCCCAGAACAUCUUCCUCCUGCCUAUCCACUGCAUCUUCCCCAUCGUUCUCUCUUCUCCCCAUUUUCUCCUCCAUCUCGUUUGAUGAUAAAAAAAAUCAGAAAUUUGAUCUUUUUGCUCCCUAUAAUGUCAAAACCUUGGUGAUUUCUUUGUGAUCUGCUACACUAUAAUUUGACCAAAGGUUUGCAUAUGUCCAUAUGAGAGGUUGCACAGGCAAAAAAGGAAAAUUUUGGGUCUAGAAAUUGACACUAGUAUCACGCUAACUUGAUGACACAAUUUGUUCAAAGAUAGAUGCAUGUUCUUGCUUGGUCGUCCUGGUCGUCUGUUGCCAGGUGCCCGACCGCCACAAUCUCCUUGUGUAUGAGAGGGCAGUGCAGCGGGGGGCACCAUCCUCGACCUUCAAUUACUGGUCAGCAAUGGCGAUGCGAAUAGAAAGAAAGGUUGCUUCACUUGCACCCUAUCUAGUCGUCUUCUGAAGUUCAGCUUGUUGACUUUUUGAAGAUCAGUUUGUUGAUUUCCUGUGUGGUUAUCUCAUCGAGUCCUCCUCAGUCCGGAGCUAGAGGCAGUUCUUCAGCUUCCCUGCUGCACUCUCGCAAUUGUCGCAGAGACAAAAUUUAUACAAGCGGCACUAUAGCACCCGAGAAGAUGGGGAGAGGAUGUGCGGUGAAGAAAAAACAUAGGUUUUCAAACCGGCCAUUGGUGGUAGCAUCUAAUCAUUUUGCCAUGUAAUGAACAUGUGUAUGUAUGUA